rnacentral:rRNA from 1 species
CGUGAAUACAUAGCGUAAUGAAGCGAACCGGGGGAACUGAAACAUCUAAGUACCCCGAGGAAAAGAAAUCAACCGAGAUUCCCCCAGUAGCGGCGAGCGAACGGGGAGCAGCCCAGAGUCUGAAUCAGCUUGUGUGUUAGUGGAACGGUCUGGAAAGUCCGACGGUACAGGGUGAUAGUCCCGUACACCAAAAUGCACAGGUUGUGAACUCGAAGAGUAGGGCGGGACACGUGGUAUCCUGUCUGAAUAUGGGGGGACCAUCCUCCAAGGCUAAAUACUCCUGACUGACCGAUAGUGAACCAGUACCGUGAGGGAAAGGCGAAAAGAACCCCGGCGAGGGGAGUGAAAAAGAACCUGAAACCGUGUACGUACAAGCAGUGGGAGCCUCUUUAUGGGGUGACUGCGUACCUUUUGUAUAAUGGGUCAGCGACUUAUAUUCUGUAGCAAGGUUAACCGUAUAGGGGAGCCGAAGGGAAACCGAGUCUUAACUGGGCGUUAAGUUGCAGGGUAUAGACCCGAAACCCGGUGAUCUAGCCAUGGGCAGGUUGAAGGUUGGGUAACACUAACUGGAGGACCGAACCGACUAAUGUUGAAAAAUUAGCGGAUGACUUGUGGCUGGGGGUGAAAGGCCAAUCAAACCGGGAGAUAGCUGGUUCUCCCCGAAAGCUAUUUAGGUAGCGCCUCGUGAAUUCAUCUUCGGGGGUAGAGCACUGUUUCGGCUAGGGGGUCAUCCCGACUUACCAACCCGAUGCAAACUGCGAAUACCGAAGAAUGUUAUCACGGGAGACACACGGCGGGUGCUAACGUCCGUCGUGAAGAGGGAAACAACCCAGACCGCCAGCUAAGGUCCCAAAGUCAUGGUUAAGUGGGAAACGAUGUGGGAAGGCACAGACAGCCAGGAUGUUGGCUUAGAAGCAGCCAUCAUUUAAAGAAAGCGUAAUAGCUCACUGGUCGAGUCGGCCUGCGCGGAAGAUGUAACGGGGCUAAACCAUGCACCGAAGCUGCGGCAGCGACACUAUGUGUUGUUGGGUAGGGGAGCGUUCUGUAAGCCGUUGAAGGUGU